GCUACUGAGCUAUUUCAAAAAUUUUACUUAGCCAACUCAAAGUUUAAGCUUAGCCAACCAAGAGUCUAGGUGAGGAGACUCACAUAAUUUUAACAGAAUAAUAGCUAGCUUUUCAUAUUUUUCAAAGCAUACUUAAUUUAUUUCUAACGGCUAUUUUCAAGCUUCCAACAGCUAGAGCAUUAGUUACAAGUAUUUUUGUGACCACAAAUGAUGAUAUUUCAAAUAGAAAUGAGAC
rnacentral:lncRNA from 1 species